rnacentral:rRNA from 1 species
UACGGAGGGGGCUAGCGUUGUUCGGAAUUACUGGGCGUAAAGCGCACGUAGGCGGACCAGAAAGUUGGGGGUGAAAUCCCGGGGCUCAACCUCGGAACUGCCUUUAAAACUAUUGGUCUGGAGUUCGAGAGAGGUGAGUGGAAUUCCGAGUGUAGAGGUGAAAUUCGUAGAUAUUCGGAGGAACACCAGUGGCGAAGGCGGCUCUCUGGUCUGUAACUGACGCUGAGGCGCGAAAGCGUGGGGAGCGAACAGG